rnacentral:rRNA from 1 species
AGCAGCAGCCACGGGAAUACGUAGGUGGCAAGCGUUGUCCGGAAUUAUUGGGCGUAAAGGGCUCGCAGGCGGUUUCUUAAGUCUGAUGUGAAAGCCCCCGGCUCAACCGGGGAGGGUCAUUGGAAACUGGGAAACUUGAGUGCAGAAGAGGAGAGUGGAAUUCCACGUGUAGCGGUGAAAUGCGUAGAGAUGUGGAGGAACACCAGUGGCGAAGGCGACUCUCUGGUCUGUAACUGACGCUUAGGAGCGAAAGCGUGGGGAGCGAACAGGAUUAGAUACCCCUGUAGUCCCUGUCUCUUAUAC